rnacentral:miRNA from 1 species
GCCUGGCUGGAUCCCUGUAUGCCAUUGGUGGUUUUGCCAUGAUUCAGCUGGAGUCUAAAGAAUUUGCACCCACUGAAGUCAAUGACAUAUGGAAGUAAGUUUUCU